UACGAAGGGGGCUAGCGUUGUUCGGAAUCACUGGGCGUAAAGGGCGCGUAGGCGGCCGAUCAAGUCGGGGGUGAAAGCCUGUGGCUCAACCACAGAAUUGCCUUCGAUACUGUUUGGCUUGAGACCGGAAGAGGUUAGUGGAACUGCGAGUGUAGAGGUGAAAUUCGUAGAUAUUCGCAAGAACACCAGUGGCGAAGGCGGCUCACUGGCCCGAUACUGACGCUGAGGUGCGAAAGCGUGGGGAGCAAACAGG
rnacentral:rRNA from 1 species